rnacentral:rRNA from 1 species
CCCUGGCGGCGAGUGGCGGACGGGUGAGUAACGCGUAGGAAUCUGCCCAGUAGUGGGGGACAACCCGGGGAAACCCGGGCUAAUACCGCAUACGCCCUACGGGGGAAAGCGGGGGAUCUUCGGACCUCGCGCUAUUGGAUGAGCCUGCGUCGGAUUAGCUUGUUGGUAGGGUAAUGGCCUACCAAGGCAACGAUCCGUAGCUGGUCUGAGAGGACGAUCAGCCACACUGGGACUGAGACACGGCCCAG